UACGGAGGAUGCAAGCGUUAUCCGGAAUUACUGGGCGUAAAGCGUGCGCGGGCGGUUUUGUAAGCCAGAUGGGAAAUCCCCGGGCUUAACCUGGGAACUGCAUUUGGGACUGCAAGGCUCGAGUACGGCAGAGGGAGGUGGAAUUCCACGUGUAGCAGUGAAAUGCGUAGAGAUGUGGAGGAACACCGAUGGCGAAGGCAGCCUCCUGGGCCAGUACUGACGCUCAUGCACGAAAGCGUGGGGAGCAAACAGG
rnacentral:rRNA from 1 species